CAAUAGCGUAUAUUAAAGUUGUUGCAGUUAAAAAGCUCGUAGUUGGAUUUCUGGUAGGAGUGACCGUUCCGAACUUGAUUGUUCGUGUAUUGUGUUUUCUCCAGCCAUCCUUGUGGAGAACUUUUCUUGCAUUAAUUUGUAGGGAUUGGGACCCGCAUCGUUUACUGUGAAAAAAUUAGAGUGUUUAAAGCAGGCAAUCGCUUGAAUACAUUAGCAUGGAAUAAUAAGAUAGGGCUUUGGUACUAUUUUGUUGGUUUGCAUACCAAAUUAAUGAUCAACAGGAACAGUUUGAGGAUAUUCGUAUGAACAUGUCAGAGGUGAAAUUCUUGGAUUUUGAUCAGACGAACUACUGCGAAAGCAUUUAUCAAGGAUGUUUUCAUUAA
rnacentral:rRNA from 1 species